rnacentral:tRNA from 1 species
GCCCGGAUGGCGGAAUUGGUAGACGCGCUGGUCUCAAACACCUGUGGGCUUAGCCCGUGCCGGUUCGACCCCGGCUCCGGGUA